AGAAUCAACGCUGGCGGCGUGCCUAACACAUGCAAGUCGAACGAGAAAGUGGAGCAAUCCAUGAGUAAAGUGGCGACCGGGUGAGUAACACGUGACUAACCUACCUUCGAGUGGGGGAUAACCUCGGGAAACCGAGGCUAAUACCGCAUAGCAUCGUGAGAUCAAAGCAGUAAUGCGCUGGAAGAGGGGGUCGCGGCUGAUUAGCUAGUUGGCGGGGUAAUGGCCCACCAAGGCGAAGAUCGGUA
rnacentral:rRNA from 1 species